CGGGAACUGGCCUAAUUGGUAAGGCACACGGUUCGGGAUCGUGAGAUUCCGGGUUCAAGUCCCGGGUUCCCGA
rnacentral:tRNA from 1 species